rnacentral:lncRNA from 1 species
ACCAACUACAGAGCACUAGCAUCGUGUUGAAUUGUGUACUGUGAAUGGAAUAUCACCCAGCAGUUUUCCAGCAUUUUAAAACUUUUUAAAGGCAAGUUUUAGCCCUUAAAUUACACAUAUUUCUUUCAUGCAAUUAAACUCACACUUGAUAUUUUUCGUUAAGUGUUUAAUUUAGCAGUUCUUUACGGUUUUAAAUAAAAGUUAAACAUUGAAGUUUUAACCUAUAACGAGUUAGAUUCUAAAACGCGCUGUAUUGGUAAAGUGGAAACAUACAAGUGGGGCUAUAGUGGAAGCGUUUCUACAUUACCAACAACCAAAGCAUUGUUCCUAAAAAUCCCAUUUGCAUAUGUUUUAGAUGCCACGGACGCAUAUCAGACCUAAACUGAAGGCGGUUUUGAAGAAGUGAGAUUACGAACUACAUAUGACACAUGAACAAUCUUUAGUCAAGGCUAAAGAGAGAAUUUCUGUGAAAUCUAAGCUCACAAAGAAAAAUAAAGAAAACAACAUUAGACCUAAGUCUAAAUCUAAAUCAUGUGAAAGGCGACUAAUGAUGGCACAGGAAUCAGAUGAAGAACCAAUUCCAUCAAAAAUUUCUUCAGGAGAAUCAGUAAUGAGACUGAUUCUCCUGAAGAACCUUCCAUUGGCGAAACUGCUCCAACUGCUGAAGAUGCCACUUAUUUUGUGGUAAUGCGUUUUCGACUAAUGUUCGAAGAGAACUUUGGAUACAGUGUCUAGUGUGUGAAAUAUG